CUUCAUCAUUGUGGGUCCCGGAGGAGCUAUAAUGAGCAGCACACCCCUUCAUCCCUGCAAUAAACUGAAAGUGGGGACAAGAACAAGAUUAUGGGAAAAAGCCAGUUCCAAAAAGAUGAUGAUAUUCUUCAGUGGUAUAUUACAGAAGAAAUAUUGCAAUCUUCAUUCAUUGCAAGGUCACUGUUUUCCGCCAAAUGUGGGUUACACUUGUUCUAAAACCAUCGUCUGCAUCUGUUUUGUUUCCACUCCUGUCCAACCACUCACAAUUCUUCAUGCACACUUCCGGUCGUGGCGUUCACCUGCUCCAAAUGUCAAAGCUCCUCAUGGCCCACACUAUAGGCCCUGUGUCUACAAUUUACCUUUCUAUUUCCAGGUCACUAUAUAGCUGGUGACUUACACUCCAGAUAAAUUCAUCUAUGUACUUUUUUAGAAUGUAUCUUGCAUUGUCACCCGUGCGUGAAAUUUCUCAACUUGAAAUUUUCUGUGUGUCUAUAAAGAUUCACUGAUCUCUCUAUCCGAAAGUUGCCC
rnacentral:lncRNA from 1 species